GAUGAACGCUGGCGGCGUGCCUAAUACAUGCAAGUCGAACGGUGAGAGGGGGUGCUUGUGCGUGUGACGGAAGAGGGGGGAAGGGGAGUAAAACAUGGGAGAAAUAUGUCUAAGACUGGGAGAAAAUCGGGAAAAAGGGGGGAAAAUAGGGGAAAAUAUUGGACCGUAUGGUGAAGGGGUGAGAGAAGGUUUUGCUGUUGGGUGUAGAUGGAGCCGGGCCGCAUUGGGUAGUAGGUGAGGUAACGGGCUACCAUGGCAACGAUUCGUGGCCCAGCCGAGAGGGGGAGCGGCCACCUCGGAACUGAGACACGGCCCCGACUCCUCCGGUAGGCAGCAGUAGGGAAGCUUCCGCAAUGGGCGAAAGCCUUACGUAGCAACGCCGCGUGAGUGAUGAAGGUCUUCGGAUCGUAAAACUCUUUUAUUAGGGAAGAACAAAAGUGUAAGUAACUAUGCACGUCUUGACGGUACCUAAUCAGAAAGCCACGGCUAACUACGUG
rnacentral:rRNA from 1 species